GCAAUCCCCCUGUAAAUAUAACAGGUUGUUUCCUAGGGUCUAAAGAGCUGUCCCUCUUUAGACUAACAGUUAAACUUACAGGGUGAUUAAGUAAUUCUGUGGGUAAACUUUACUGUUAGUAUAC